rnacentral:lncRNA from 1 species
AAAUGGAAGAAAAGCUCUACAAGAAAGAGAUUCGACACCAAAUUAGUAAAGAAGAACAAGACCAGCUCAAAUAUUUUGAAGGCAUGCUUGCAAAAGUUAAACAAUUAAAUGCCCACGUGUAAAGUUAUUCCAUUGCAAUAAAAAUAAUGAUUUA